rnacentral:lncRNA from 1 species
GUGACCUGGACUUUUGAAUGGUGUCUGAAGUUGGGGCAGCCUUGUGGGAUAGAACCUUUAAACUGGUGGAAUCUGAUGGUAAUCCCAGAAAUGGAUCAAAUGGUUGAACAGCCAGCUGGUGUCACAGAAUGGCUUGGCCUCAGGAAAGAUCUCAGAGGAAUAUGAACAAAACCUGCAGUGCACAGGUGAACCCACUGAUGACUCUGAGGUGCUGCCGUAGCAAUAAUGAAUAAUAACACCACCAACAAAAACAGUAGGAGCUGACUCAUCCACUCCUCACCAUGCAUUAGACACUCUCCUGAAGUCUUCACAUAUUGUCUGUUUCAUUCUCAAAAUCAUAUUAUGAUCCUCAUCCUGCAGAUGUAACUGAAGCAAAAAAAAGAUAAAUAAUUGGCCCAAAACUGAAGCUAAAAAAUCUCAUUCCAGAUUCCAUAAUUCCAACUGCUAUGCUAGUAGGGAAACUUCUUUCUCUGUUAUUCAUUUCUUCUUUAUUUUAG